UUGCUGUUGAAGUGAUGAGCUCAUCAUGUCUCUUCUCUGAAAAACAGUGAAGAUGAUUUUAUAUCUCUGAUCUCAGCAA
rnacentral:snoRNA from 1 species